rnacentral:rRNA from 1 species
AGGACGAACGCUGGCGGCGUGCUUAACACAUGCAAGUGGAGCGACGAACCAGGCUUCGGCCUGGGGCAAAGCCGCGAACGGGUGAGUAACACGUGGGUUACCUGCCCCGAUGACCGGGACAACCCGAGGAAACUCGAGCUAAUACCGGAUGUGCCCCUUGGGGGAAAGGAGCUUCGGCCUCCGCA